UUGAAAGGGAAACGAUUGAAGUCAGUGUACUUUGGGUAAUAGCUUUUGGGUGUGAUUUUGUGGAGUGUGGGGAGUUAAACGUUAUGCUGAUAUNGUAAUUUGGGUGUAUUUGNGGUGGUGAGUUAAAUCAAUUUUGGUGGUAUAAAAUGGGUGGAGGAAUGUAGUUGAUUGUAUUGAAGUGUUAUAGCUUGGUAGAUGUGAUUAUGGGAUUGAGGAUUGAAGGAUAACUUGGGGUANUGUNGAUUUGAUGUUGUUGGUGUGAAAGUUGCUUAUGGUNNNAAGUGAUGGUAAUAGGUUAGAAGGGUUAAAUUCGUUAAGGAUGUUGACGUA
rnacentral:rRNA from 1 species